UACGGGGGGUGCGAGCGUUGUCCGGAAUCACUGGGCGUAAAGGGCGCGUAGGUGGCCUGAUAAGGGUGUGGUGAAAGUCCGGGGCUCAACCCCGGAUCUGCCGUGCCGACUGUUGGGCUGGAGUACUGUAGGGGCAGGCGGAAUUCCGGGUGUAGCGGUGGAAUGCGUAGAGAUCCGGAGGAAGACCGGUGGCGAAGGCGGCCUGCUGGGCAGUAGCUGACGCUGAUGCGCGACAGCGUGGGGAGCAAACAGG
rnacentral:rRNA from 1 species